rnacentral:tRNA from 1 species
GUCGCCGUACCCAAGCGGUCAACGGGAAGCGGCUCAGGACCGCUGGCGAAGGUCCUACCCAGGUUCGAAUCCUGGCGGCGACA